GCGAAGGGAGCCCCAAAUUUUGAACUGUCCCCCCAUUCGGACGACCCCCGAAACCUAGACACGCCCCCAAAGGGCCCUCACCCUCGAGCCCCGCCCCCCUGCGGCGGGAGAGGGAGGCAGCACAUACGCAUGCGCGCGCAAGAGACGAGGGCCCGCCCCCUCACUCCUUCUCUCCGGACGUCGCGUGGUGGCGCGCGACUACUUUCUCUCCGCCCCUUUGUUGACAGACGCGCGCGUGACGCCCCCAGCCAAUGAGCGGCUGCCGUUCGGGGCCAUGCCCAUAUAAGGAAUGGCUUGGCGAAGGGGCCUAACUUCGAAAGAGGGAGGAGUAGGCGAGAGGUGAAGGGGGUGUGGAAACAGCGGAGUGUAAGAGAGCGUGGAACAAUUCCCAACUUCUUGCUAAAACGGAGGAUCAAGGCCAGGACAGAGGCCACGGUAUUCAGGGAUAGGGCUCACCUAGAUCCUUACAAAGCCAGGCUGAUUGAAGAGAUAUCCAAAGUGACUCCACUGCAGCCAUCUGUCCAAGUGUCACCUGUCUGUCCUUCCACCACCCUGCCCCAGCCGUGCCUGCUUCCACCAAUCCUGCACAUCACAGCCAGAAGGAUCUUCAAGCACAAACCUGACCCUGUCACUACCCUGUACAAAACCUACCAUGAAUGACUCCCUGGUGCCCUUGGGAAAAAGCCCCGGUACCCUACAAGUCCAACCUCACCCCUCCUCACUCCUCCACACCCCCAGUGGACCCCGGAGGGCACCAGAUCUGGCAUAGAGAGUGGUUUGAGUACUUGCAACCCUGUCUGACCCUCAGUAGAAACUAUUAUCCUCUCCAGUGUAAGAAUAAAGAAACAGAAGCCAGA